CCUACGGGGGGCUGCAGUGGGGAAUAUUGGACAAUGGGGGGAACCCUGAUCCAGCCAUGCCGCGUGUGUGAAGAAGGCCCUCGGGUUGUAAAGCACUUUCAGUGAGGAAGAACGCCUGGUGGUUAAUACCCAUCAGGAAAGACAUCACUCACAGAAGAAGCACCGGCUAACUCCGUGCCAGCAGCCGCGGUAAUACGGAGGGUGCGAGCGUUAAUCGGAAUUACUGGGCGUAAAGCGCGCGUAGGUGGCUUGAUAAGCCGGUUGUGAAAGCCCCGGGCUCAACCUGGGAACGGCAUCCGGAACUGUCAAGCUAGAGUGCAGGAGAGGAAGGUAGAAUUCCCGGUGUAGCGGUGAAAUGCGUAGAGAUCGGGAGGAAUACCUGUGGCGAAGGCGGCCUUCUGGACUGACACUGACACUGAGGUGCGAAAGCGUGGGUAGCAAACAGGAUUAGAUACCCCUGUAGUC
rnacentral:rRNA from 1 species